rnacentral:rRNA from 1 species
UACGAAGGUGGCAAGCGUUGUUCGGAUUUACUGGGCGUCCAGGGAGCGUAGGCGGUUGGAUAAGCCCUCCGUGAAAUCUCCAGGCUUAACCUGGAAAGUGCAGAGGGGACUGUUCAGCUAGAGGAUGGGAGAGGAGCGCGGAAUUCCCGGUGUAGCGGUGAAAUGCGUAGAGAUCGGGAGGAAGGCCGGUGGCGAAGGCGGCGCUCUGGAACAUUUCUGACGCUGAGGCUCGAAAGCGUGGGGAGCAAACAGG